GAUGAACGCUGGCGGCGUGCCUAAUACAUGCAAGUCGAGCGAACAGACGAGGAGCUUGCUCCGCUGACGUUAGCGGCGGACGGGUGAGUAACACGUGGAUAACCUACCUAUAAGACUGGGAUAACUUCGGGAAACCGGAGCUAAUACCGGAUAAUAUAUUGAACCGCAUGGUUCAAUAGUGAAAGACGGUUUUGCUGUCACUUAUAGAUGGAUCCGCGCCGCAUUAGCUAGUUGGUAAGGUAACGGCUUACCAAGGCAACGAUGCGUAGCCGACCUGAGAGGGUGAUCGGCCACCCUGGAACUGAGACACGGUCCAGACUCCUACGGGAGGCAGCAGUAGGGAAUCUUCCGCAAUGGGCGAAAGCCUGACGGAGCAACGCCGCGUGAGUGAUGAAGGUCUUCGGAUCGUAAAACUCUGUUAUUAGGGAAGAACAAAUGUGUAAGUAACUAUGCACGUCUUGACGGUACCUAAUCAGAAAGCCACGGCUAACUACGUG
rnacentral:rRNA from 1 species